ACUUGCCCUUUUGGUUGCAGCUCUGCCAUCUGACACUAAGCCAGGAACCUACUGUCCACAUAUGCGUAAACCUGUCAAGGAGGUGACCUAUCUUGUUGGAGAGAUCUGUUUGACAAACAUCUGCAGAGACCAGCGACAACAGGCUGAAACUGAGGACAGCAAGCAGCUGGUGCACACACCACCCAAACAAAAAGAGG